rnacentral:rRNA from 1 species
AGGGUGUAAACGCUGCGGGCUUGGUGUUGGGGUCCUUAGUGGGCGCCCAGUGCCGGAGAGAAGUUGUUAAGCCUGCUGCUUGGGGAGUAUGUCCGCAAGGAUGAAACUUAAAGGAAUUGGCGGGGGAGCACCGCAACGGGAGGAGCGUGCGGUUCAAUUGGAUUCAACGCCGAAAAAACUCACCAGGAGCGACGGAUAUAUGAAGGUCAAGCUGAUGACUUUACCUGAUUUUCCGAGAGGUGGUGCAUGGCGU